rnacentral:rRNA from 1 species
CCUACGGGAGGCAGCAGUGGGGAAUAUUGGGCAAUGGAGGCAACUCUUACCCAGCAAUGCCGCGUGAAUGAAGAAGGUCUUCGGAUUGUAAAGUUCUGUAAUCGGGGACGAAAAAAAUGACGGUACCCAAGGAAUAAGCCCCGGCUGACUACGUGCCAGCAGCCGCGGUACUACGUAGGGGGCAAGCGUUGUUCGGAAUGACUGGGCGUAAAGGGUGUGUAGGCGGUGUAGGAAAGUAGGAGUGAAAUACCUAGAGCCUAACCCCGGUGCUGCUUCUAAAACUGCUAGACUGGAGUGCAGUAGAGGAAAGUGGAAUUCCUAGUGUAGCGGUGGAAUGCGUAGAUAUUAGGAGGAACAGCAGUGGCGAAGGCGACUUUCUGGACUGUAACUGACGCUGAGGCACGAAAGUGUGGGGAGCAAACAGGAUUAGAUACCCUUGUAGUC